AGUGAACGCUGGCGGUAGGCCUAACACAUGCAAGUCGAACGGCAGCACAGGAGAGCUUGCUCUCUGGGUGGCGAGUGGCGGACGGGUGAGGAAUACAUCGGAAUCUACCUUUUCGUGGGGGAUAACGUAGGGAAACUUACGCUAAUACCGCAUACGACCUUCGGGUGAAAGCAGGGGACCUUCGGGCCUUGCGCGGAUAGAUGAGCCGAUGUCGGAUUAGCUAGUUGGCGGGGUAAAGGCCCACCAAGGCGACGAUCCGUAGCUGAUCUGAGAGGAUGAUCAGCCACACUGGAACUGAGACACGGUCCAGACUCCUACGGGAGGCAGCAGUGGGGAAUAUUGGACAAUGGGCGCAAGCCUGAUCCAGCCAUGCCGCGUGGGUGAAGAAGGCCUUCGGGUUGUAAAGCCCUUUUGUUGGGAAAGAAAAGCAGCCAGUUAAUACCUGGUUGUUCUGACGGUACCCAAAGAAUAAGCACCGGCUAACUUCGUGCCAGCAGCCGCCGUAA
rnacentral:rRNA from 1 species